CACAGUGAACGUGUCCUGGUUUUUGACUCCACCAGACUCCACCUUGGCUGAAGUUACGACAGUGGCGACCGAGCAUGGGACACUGAUAUUCGGAGACGGAGAGACUUCAGCACUGAGGACAGGAGAUUCCAUACAAGGAACGGAAACACACUGUAAAAAGUGUCCUUAUUUUACAAGACGACUUUGCAGACAAAAGUCUGCAAAAUUUUGCGGCUCGUGUCUGUAAUUGCCCUUUACCGCGUAAAAGCUGUUUUCGUGUUCCAAGAUGGCGUCUAUCGUGUGAAACGACCAGUGGGCUGACCGGCCCGCUUAUUGUACAGUUGAACGAACUUCCAGGUGGCGUUGUAUUCGCGACGCGCAGGUGGCUGCUACUUGUCGGGUGGCGAUGUUUCGCAGACGACGCUAGAACCUACAACGCCUACAACUUAGAAAGUGAAGUUUGGCACGGUGGCACUGCUCCUUCGAACUCAAUUGCGUUGGAACGACAAAUAAUUGGCUGACCGUAAACAUAGAUCUCAGAAGUGUGGACACACAAGGAAGCUCACGUUCCUCUCGCGGAUGACAGCGUGGCCCUACACGAAAGGUGAACAAAAGAACAGCGUCGUGUCAGUCUGUGGUGCACACUCAUUCUGUAUGCACUUGGUGCCUGCGUUUUCUUCUUUUUCAUUGUUUUUCUAGGGCAUAAUAUAUCCAUAUACGUACUGUGGUACACAGCUAGCUGUUCGGUAUUUUCUUUGUCUGUAUUUUCAA